rnacentral:ncRNA from 1 species
CUAGCUUCGGCAAGCGAUGGUCCUCGUCAGAGGUCAAAAGGGAAUGCCGGUGCGGGGUGUGUCACCCCAAGGCCGGAGCUGCCCCCGCAACUGUGAGCGGUUGAGGCGCGAACCACGACAGCCACUGGAUCUGCCGUCCUUCCGGCGGGGGUCUGGGAAGGCGGUUCGCUCCGAUGAUCCGCAAGCCAGGAGACCUGCCUUCGCGAUGGAAGCCAUG